UACGUAGGGGGCGAGCGUUGUCCGGAUUUAUUGGGCGUAAAGAGCGUGUAGGCGGCCAGGUAGGUCUGCUGUGAAAACUCGAGGCUUAACCUCUAGACGUCGAUGGAAACCGUCUGGCUAGAGUCCGGAAGAGGAGAAUGGAAUUCCUGGUGUAGCGGUGAAAUGCGCAGAUAUCAGGAAGAACACCCGUGGCUAAGGCGGUUCUCUAGUACGGUACUGACGCUGAGACGCGAAAGCGUGGGGAGCGAACAGG
rnacentral:rRNA from 1 species